UGCCAGCCGCCGCGGUAAUACGUAGGUGGCAAAUGUUGUCCGGAAUCAUUGGGCGUAAAGGGUCCGUAGGUGGCUUGAAAAGUCUUAUGUGAUAUCUCUUGGCUCAACCAAGAAACGCCAUAAGAAACUUUCAUGCUAGAGAUCAUCAGAGGGAGGUAGAAUUUCAGGUGUAGUGGUGAAACGCGUAGAUAUCUGAAGGAAUACCAAUGGUGAAAGCAGCCUCCUGGGGUGAAUCUGACAUUGAGGGACGAAAGCGUGGGUAGCAAACCGGAUUAGAUA
rnacentral:rRNA from 1 species